rnacentral:other from 1 species
AUUUGACUGCGUUAUUCGUGACCGAACGCAUACAUAAUUGAGCCAACAUAUGAAUGUCGGGAGGCUAAUGCCGGUCGUCGGUGCUUUUCUCCACGGAGCCAAGCCAUAGACUCCGGCUUUGAUAUCUCGAUCUAAUCGGAAUAGAAAGCCACCCACCUGUAACUAACAGGUUCAAUUCAUACGUUCGAACGGUUUCGCGGUUCUCAU